AGCCGAACAAGACCGAUGUUGCUGUCAGAACUAUUCCUGUGUUUUCCAAGUUCAGUAGAGGACUAAGAUAUCUUUAGGUACCAUGAGGGACAGGUUACACUUGGUGGGAGAAGAAAUGAAGCCAGGCGGAACUACCAAUUCCGUUCCUUAAAGUGAACUGUCAUAUACAGACAGAACUAUCUCCAUUUUGAACAGUGCUAGAAGAAAGAAAGAAAUGUGAUAUGCAACAAAAGAAAAAUGGUGUGGAUUAAUGACAGCUACAAGGUUAUGGUGUCACAAAUGAUACUGGAAGAAAAACAAGAAGCCAGCAUGAAAAGUUCAGCUGCAACAAAAUAUGAGGCCACUAAACUGUUGAGUAAGAUUGGUGGUCAUUCAGCAAACAUAAAAUACUGCAAUGCAGAUGCUAAGGUAGAGAGAGGGGCCGUGGUCAGAUUCAGUCCCAGCCCCCCAAAAUUUUGGGCAUGGCCCCAGGCUACCAAAAGAUGUCAUCCAAUUGUCUGCAUUGUGGGGUUGAAGAGCAACAGAGAAGAAAAAAGACAACCGCAAAGUCUAUCCAACUAAAAAGAAGGAAACAAAAUGAACAUUAAAGUAGCGGGCUACAGAAGAGGGGUUGUGGAAAGAAAUCAAACUGAAACAAAGUUGUUUAAAUAAGUGUUCCCUAUAACCAUUUAUUUGUAAAAAAAUUUAAAAAUCUCAUUUAAUGCAUUUAAUCUUAACAAAUUUAGUCUCAUACUAUUUUUAAGGCAAUUUUAAUAUAUACUCUUUCUGAAUUGAAGAUUGUGACUUUUAAUUAUCAAAUCAACAGCGUAGACCUGAGGUAGGUCCUCCUACACAUAUUUUACCCAGAACAAGGCACAUUUCAGCACUAUUAACAUGCAGAAAAUUCAGUUGCCAGACCUUGUGCUCCCACAAGCAAAAUUCUUAUGUAUCUGAUUUUUGCCCCACCUUUAUUACUUUAUAAGUAUCUCAAAAUGGUGGACAUACAUAAUAUUCCUUCUUCCUCCAAUUUUCUCCACACAUAACCAUGGGAGGUAGGUUGGGCUGAGAGAGUCACUGGCCCAACAUCAGCCAGUCAGCUUUCACGUUUUUUUUCCUGUCAGUUCAACCUUCCAAUAUUCUAAAACUGCAUGAAUUUCUGACCCAUCAUUAAGUCCUUACCAAGAUUUAGUUUUAGUGAGUUAAGCUGCCUGGCAGAGAAGAAACUGAAAAAUCCCUGUAGAGUCCCAAUUGACUGAUUGAUUUUUUAUUUUUUUUACAGUUUAUGUGAUGCUCCAAUCUGAAGAUACUGAGAGGCUUGUAAAAUAGAUUACACGUU